GACGAACCGUGCGAACGUUGUUCGGAAUCACUGGGCUUAAAGGGCGCGUAGGCGGCCGGGUUGGUCGUGGGUGAAAUCCCCCAGCUUAACUGGGGAAUUGCCUACGAUACUGCCUGGCUCGAGGGAGGAAGGGGCGGCCGGAACUGUCGGUGGAGCGGUGAAAUGCGUUGAGAUCGACAGGAACGCCGGUGGCGAAAGCGGGCCGCUGGCCCUCUUCUGACGCUGAUGCGCGAAAGCUAGGGGAGCAAACGGG
rnacentral:rRNA from 1 species